rnacentral:rRNA from 1 species
GCUAAACGCGAAGAACCUUACCCACCUUUGACAUCCCGUGCUAUCUAGAGAGAUCUAGAGUCCCUUCGGGGCGCGGAGACAGGUGCUGCAUGGCUGUCGUCAGCUCGUGUCGUGAGAUGUUGGGUUAAGUCCCGCAACGAGCGCAACCCUCGCUUCUAGUUGCCAGCAUUUAGUUGGGCACUCUAGAGGAACUGCCUGCGCCAAGCAGGAGGAAGGCGGGGAUGACGUCAAGUCAGCAUGGCCUUUAUAUCCUGGGCUACACACACGCUACAAUGGGUAGGGACAAUUGGUUGCGAAACCGCGAGGUGGAGCCAAUCCGUAAAAAACUAACCCUCAGUUCAGAUUGCAGGCUGCAAACUCGCCUGCAUGAAAGUCGGAGUUGCUAGUAAACCGCAGGUCAGCUA